rnacentral:rRNA from 1 species
CGGCCGCGUCGACAAGCAGGGGACCUUCGGGCCUUGCGCUAUCAGAUGAGCCUAGGUCGGAUUAGCUAGUUGGUGAGGUAAUGGCUCACCAAGGCUGCGAUCCGUAACUGGUCUGAGAGGAUGAUCAGUCACACUGGAACUGAGACACGGUCCAGACUCCUACGGGAGGCAGCAGUGGGGAAUAUUGGACAAUGGGCGAAAGCCUGAUCCAGCCAUGCCGCGUGUGUGAAGAAGGUCUUCGGAUUGUAAAGCACUUUAAGUUGGGAGGAAGGGCAGUAAGUUAAUACCUUGCUGUUUUGACGUUACCGACAGAAUAAGCACCGGCUAACUUCGUGCCAGCAGCCGCGGUAAUACGGAGGAUGCGAGCGUUAUCCGGAUUUAUGGGUUUAAAGGGUGCGUAGGUGGUCUUUAAGUCAGCGGUGAAAGUUUGUGGCUCAACCAUAAAACUUGCCAUUGAAACUGGGAGACUUGAGUAUGUUUGAGGUAGGCGGAAUGCGUGGUGUAGCGGUGAGAUGCAUAGAUAUCCG